rnacentral:rRNA from 1 species
UAGGGAAUCUUCGGCAAUGGACGAAAGUCUGACCGAGCAACGCCGCGUGAGUGAAGAAGGUUUUCGGAUCGUAAAACUCUGUUGUUAGAGAAGAACAAGGACGUUAGUAACUGAACGUCCCCUGACGGUAUCUAACCAGAAAGCCACGGCUAACUACGUGCCAGCAGCCGCGGUAAUACGUAGGUGGCAAGCGUUGUCCGGAUUUAUUGGGCGUAAAGCGAGCGCAGGCGGUUUCUUAAGUCUGAUGUGAAAGCCCCCGGCUCAACCGGGGAGGGUCAUUGGAAACUGGGAGUCUUGAGUGCAGAAGAGGAGAGUGGAAUUCCAUGUGUAGCGGUGAAAUGCGUAGAUAUAUGGAGGAACCCCAGUGGCGAAGGCGGCUCUCUGGUCUGUAACUGACGCUGAGGCUCGAAAGCGUGGGGAGCAAACAGG